rnacentral:rRNA from 1 species
UACAGAGGAGCCAAGCGUUGUCCGGAUUGACUGGGCGUAAAGCGCACGCAGGCGGACGCGCGCGUGGGGUGUGAAAUCUGGCCGCUUAACGGCCAGGCGCCAUCCCAUAGGGCGCGUCUGGAGCCAUGCAGAGGUCGGUGGAAUUGCCGGUGUAGUGGUGAAAUGCGUAGAGAUCGGCAGGAACACCCAGGGGGAAACCAGCCGACUGGGCAUGUGCUGACGCUGAGGUGCGAGAGCGUGGGGAGCGAACCGG